UACAGAGGUCCCAAGCGUUGUUCGGAUUCAUUGGGCGUAAAGGGUGUGUAGGUGGCGCCGUAAGUCGGGUGUGAAAUCUCGGGGCUUAACUCCGAAACUGCAUUCGAUACUGCGGUGCUUGAGGACUGGAGAGGAGACUGGAAUUCAUGGUGUAGCAGUGAAAUGCGUAGAGAUCAUGAGGAAGACCAGUGGCGAAGGCGGGUAGCUGGGCCGACACUGACGCUGAGGCGCGAAAGCCAGGGGAGCAAACGGG
rnacentral:rRNA from 1 species